rnacentral:rRNA from 1 species
UACGUAGGGUGCGAGCGUUGUCCGGAAUUACUGGGCGUAAAGAGCUCGUAGGUGGUUUGUCGCGUUGUUCGUGAAAACUCACAGCUUAACUGUGGGCGUGCGGGCGAUACGGGCAGACUGGAGUACUGCAGGGGAGACUGGAAUUCCUGGUGUAGCGGUGGAAUGCGCAGAUAUCAGGAGGAACACCGGUGGCGAAGGCGGGUCUCUGGGCAGUAACUGACGCUGGAGGCGCGAAAGCGUGGGGAGCAAACAGG